rnacentral:rRNA from 3 species
UUUAUGGAGAGUUUGAUCCUGGCUCAGGACGAACGCUGGCGGCGUGCUUAACACAUGCAAGUCGAACGGAAAGGCCUAGCUUGCUAGGUACUCGAGUGGCGAACGGGUGAGUAAC